rnacentral:lncRNA from 1 species
CAGCACAUUUAUGUCUAGAAAAUGGUUGCUUUAAAGUGUUUGCAUGGACUAGGGAUGUAUGAAAUUGUAGGACAAAAUGAAAAUCUGAUUAUUCAUGUCAGCCCUAAGAAUGGUGUUAGUACUUGAUACAACUUACAUUAUUUUAGCUUUAAAAAAGAAUGUUCAUCUGAACUGCAAUAAAGCUAGAAUUAUAUUACCUUGAAAGGAUGUCUCUGGGAGUUGUAAGUCAAAACAAGGCUGUAUUACAAAAAAUUAAAUAAUAAUAAUAAUGUGGAGAUAAAUCGACGUAUGUAUCGAGAGUUAUGUCUGUGCUACUUCGGGGCAGAGAGUUUCCUGUUUGGGUUGAGAUUUGCAGAGCUGGUGAUUUUCCAGGACUACAUGAGGCUCCCAGGCAGGUCACCGAGGCUCAGUGCCCCUAGAGCACCGUCUCACAGCUCUUGAGGCAAUGCCUGGUUGACUGUGUGCUGUCACUCGACCUUUUCUAUGAAAGAUGAGACGCUCUUCCCACUAAUGGAUGCAAAUGUAAGAACUGGCUGCCUGAAACAGCAGUGAGGCUGCAACUCUCCUGUUACUCUGGGGGAAAGCUUAACAACUAAGAUUCAGAGCAAAGGAAGACGAUGCCGGCAGCAGGCUUUGGGUGCUUGUGGGGCAGCAGGUUGUACCAGGGGCAGGUGCAGACCCCUGCCUCCCUUGCCUUCACCACAGUCACAACAGGCCAGGCCAGCCCAUCCAUCAUGUCUCUAGGAUAUCUCAGGGGUUCAAGGCCACCACACCAUUUGCAGCACACUCCACUCGCUGAUCUGUGAUAUGGGAGAUGUGCUUAUUGGCGAAUAAAUCACCAUGUCAAGUUAACGGCCUGUGUCCAAGGCGAGUGACUUCGAGGUCAGCAUAGCAGCAUACCAUUGGAUGCAGCGGGUUCUGCUUCUGCGCACAGUGCCUCAUCAGAACAUAAAUUUUCAAAUACCAGAUGUGAUAAAAGACAACAUCGAGCUUUCUGUUUUUUGAAGGAGAGGAGAAGGAGAUCCUGGAUACAUUCUCUGAAAGGUGCCUCCACUUCAUCACUGAUCCCGACACGUGGGAGGAAGGAGAGGAGGACAGUGAAGACCAUCAGCAAGGGAGAGCAGGUUCCCUGCCCUGGAUCCCUGCCCUGGUCCCCUGCCCUGAUUCCCUGCCCCAUGUUGUAGGUCUUUGGGCUACAUUUCUACCCAUUGGCUGAACAUAAAAACUGUCCUAUGAACUAUUUGGCAGCAAGUUCACAGCAAAGAAUAUUAACUCUGUGAGGCACCUUAGACAAUGCCUGGCUUAACCCCCACUUGACAAAUAAAGACACAUGUUCUGACUCACCCACCAUCCCAGGAGCAACUGACCAGGCUGAGGAACUCUGUCCACUGCCUGCAGCCCACUUGGCCUUCCACUGUGACGUCCAGGCUGAGGAACUGUGUCUGCCACCUGCAGCCCACUUGGCCUUCCACUGUGAUGUCCUUUCCAGGACUCUGAGCAGAGAUGGGUUUAUAACAAGCAUAAAUUGUUAUUUUGUAUCGAUCUGCACAUCAAUUUAUAUAUUUUGAAAAUUAAAAGAAAUCCAAUGAUAAGAAUUUUUCUCACAAGUUAAUUAAGGAAACUAGGUCAAUGGAAAUUUCUUAGGUUAUGAAAAUAUUGAUGUGAAUAUGUUAUGUGAGAAUCAUUUCAAAAUGAGUUAAAGGGGCUGGGCACAGUGGUUCACACCUGUAAUCCC